ACAUCCAGAGAAUUUAGCAGAGAUGCUUUAGUGCCUUCGGGAACUCUGAGACAGGUGCUGCAUGGCUGUCGUCAGCUCGUGUUGUGAAAUGUUGGGUUAAGUCCCGNAACGAGCGCAACCCUUAUCCUUUGUUGCCAGCACGUAAUGGUGGGAACUCAAAGGAGACUGCCGGUGAUAAACCGGAGGAAGGUGGGGAUGACGUCAAGUCAUCAUGGCCCUUACGAGUAGGGCUACACACGUGCUACAAUGGCGCAUACAAAGAGAAGCGACCUCGCGAGAGCAAGCGGACCUCAUAAAGUGCGUCGUAGUCCGGAUUGGAAUCUGCAACUCGACUCCAUGAAGUCGGAAUCGCUAGUAAUCGUAAAUCAGAAUGUUACGGUGAAUACGUUCCCGGGCCUUGUACACACCGCCCGUCACACCAUGGGAGUGGGUUGCAAAAGAAGUAGAUAGCUUAACCUUCGGGAGGGCGUUUACCACUUUGUGAUUCAUGACUGGGGUGAAGUCGUAACAAGGUAAGCGUAGUGCU
rnacentral:rRNA from 1 species